rnacentral:rRNA from 1 species
UACAGAGGGGGCAAGCGUUAUUCGGAAUUAUUGGGCGUAAAAGGCGCGUAGGCGGCUUGGCAAGUGGAUGGUGAAAUCCCUCGGCUUAACCGAGGAACGGCCGUCCAAACUGCUUCGCUUGAGACCGGGAGAGGUGAGUGGAAUUCCCAGUGUAGCGGUGAAAUGCGUAGAUAUUGGGAGGAACACCAGUGGCGAAGGCGGCUCACUGGACCGGUACUGACGCUGAAGCGCGAAAGCG